rnacentral:tRNA from 1 species
GCUCUGGCUCAGUGGCAGAGUAUCUGCUUGCCAUGCAGAAGGUCUCCAGUUGAAUCCCUGGCAUCUGCA